GAUGAAGAACGUAGCGAAAUGCGAUAAGUAAUGUGAAUUGCAGAAUUCAGUGAAUCAUGGAAUCUUUGAACGCACAUUGCGCCCGCCAGUAUUCUGGCGGGCAUGCCUGUCCGAGCGUCAUUUCAACCCUCGAACCCCUCCGGGGGGUCGGCGUUGGGGACCUCGGGAGCCCCUAAGACGGGAUCCCGGCCCCGAAAUACAGUGGCGGUCUCGCCGCAGCCUCUCCUGCGCAGUAGUUUGCACAACUCGCACCGGGAGCGCGGCGCGUCCACGUCCGUAAAACACCCAACUUCUGAAAUGUUGACCUCGGAUCAGGUAGGAAUACCCGCUGAACUUAAGCAUAUCAAUAAGCGGAGGA
rnacentral:misc_RNA from 1 species